GAACUCGUGGUGGCUAAUAGGAUAAACGAAUGUUCAACAUUUUCACUAUUUAACAGCAGGUUCUCAUGCGAAUUGCAUUUAAGAUGGUGGAAGCAUGGCUAUCUUCCAGGCAGUGAGAGCCUGUUGCGUGCACGCAUCAUCCGUGAGCAGUCAUUGUACGGGCUUGUGGAGUGCUCUCGCCGCUGGCUUACCCUGACUCGGCUCUUUGAUCACGAUUAAGCAAGAAGCGAGCAAGAAAUGGCAAUUCAGCGUAUUGGGAAUUUCCGUUAUACGACGAGUCUCGAUCGCUUGGAUUGCACUCUGCGGGGAUCACGUGACGAGCGUUUUCUGCGCACGCGAUCUCGGGUGGGUCUUCCUCAGACUUGUACAGUAACUUGAGUAGAGUAUUUAAGUUACAUAUAUUAAAUACCUUUGC